GGAGGGGUGGCAGAGCGGUUGAAUGCGACGGUCUUGAAAACCGUUUUGGGCGCAACCCGCCCAACGUGGGUUCGAAUCCCACCCCCUCCG
rnacentral:tRNA from 1 species